rnacentral:lncRNA from 1 species
CGUUGCCGAGGAGACCACUAGGGAACUGGAUAUCACCGAGACCCCGGCCGCUCCUGCUGAGGCGGAAGCCCCCGCCGCUCCAGCCAAGGAGGAGGCGCCGGCCGCUCCUGCCGAGGAGACGCCAGCAGCUCCUGCUGAAGUGGACGUGCCUGCUGCCCCUGCCAAGGAGGAAGCUCCCGUCGCCGCCGACACCACACCUGCUGCCCCUGCCGAGGAGGUUGCACCGGCUGCUCCUGCUGAGGAGACUCCAGCCAAGGUGGAAGCACCGGCAGCGGAGUAAGGACGAUCCGGCACUCGAGCUGCAUUCGAGGAAGCUUUGAGUAGAGAUCAUCCCACUGGUAUUCAGGAAGAGAGUGUGCAAGUAAAUGCGGUGGUGGUGUGUCUACUCUUUUUUAGUUAUGAU